GAUGAACGCUGGCGGCGUGCCUAAUACAUGCAGGUCGAGCGAACAGACGAGGAGCUUGCUCCUUUGACGUUAGCGGCGGACGGGUGAGUAACACGUGGGUAACCUACCUAUAAGACUGGGAUAACUUCGGGAAACCGGAGCUAAUACCGGAUAAUAUUUCGAACCGCAUGGUUCGAUAGUGAAAGAUGGCUUUGCUAUCACUUAUAGAUGGACCUGCGCCGUAUUAGCUAGUUGGUAAGGUAACGGCUUACCAAGGCAACGAUACGUAGCCGACCUGAGAGGGUGAUCGGCAACACUGGAACUGAGACACGGUCCAGACUCCUACGGGAGGCAGCAGUAGGGAAUCUUCCGCAAUGGGCGAAAGCCUGACGGAGCAACGCCGCGUGAGUGAUGAAGGUCUUCGGAUCGUAAAACUCUGUUAUUAGGGAAGAACAAACGUGUAAGUAACUGCGCACGUCUUGACGGUACCUAAUCAGAAAGCCACGGCUAACUACGUG
rnacentral:rRNA from 1 species